rnacentral:rRNA from 1 species
AAAUUGAAGAGUUUGAUCAUGGCUCAGAUUGAACGCUGGCGGCAGGCCUAACACAUGCAAGUCGAACGGUAACAGAAAGCAGCUUGCUGCUUUGCUGACGAGUGGCGGACGGGUGAGUAAUGUCUGGGAAACUGCCUGAUGGAGGGGGAUAACUACUGGAAACGGUAGCUAAUACCGCAUAACGUCGCAAGACCAAAGAGGGGGACCUUCGGGCCUCUUGCCAUCGGAUGUGCCCAGAUGGGAUUAGCUUGUUGGUGGGGUAACGGCUCACCUAGGCGACGAUCCCUAGCUGGUCUGAGAGGAUGACCAGCCCACACUGGAACUGAGACACGGUCCAGACUCCUACGGGAGGCAGCAGUGGGGAAUAUUGCACAAUGGGCGCAAGCCUGAUGCAGCCAUGCCGCGUGUAUGAAGAAGGCCUUCGGGUUGUAAAGUACUUUCAGCGGGGAGGAAGGGAGUAAAGUUAAUACCUUUGCUCAUUGACGUUACCCGCAGAAGAAGCACCGGCUAACUCCGUGCCAGCAGCCGCGGUAAUACGGAGGGUGCAAGCGUUAAUCGGAAUUACUGGGCGUAAAGCGCACGCAGGCGGUUUGUUAAGUCAGAUGUGAAAUCCCCGGGCUCAACCUGGGAACUGCAUCUGAUACUGGCAAGCUUGAGUCUCGUAGAGGGGGGUAGAAUUCCAGGUGUAGCGGUGAAAUGCGUAGAGAUCUGGAGGAAUACCGGUGGCGAAGGCGGCCCCCUGGACGAAGACUGACGCUCAGGUGCGAAAGCGUGGGGAGCAAACAGGAUUAGAUACCCUGGUAGUCCACGCCGUAAACGAUGUCGACUUGGAGGUUGUGCCCUUGAGGCGUGGCUUCCGGAGCUAACGCGUUAAGUCGACCGCCUGGGGAGUACGGCCGCAAGGUUAAAACUCAAAUGAAUUGACGGGGGCCCGCACAAGCGGUGGAGCAUGUGGUUUAAUUCGAUGCAACGCGAAGAACCUUACCUGGUCUUGACAUCCACGGAAGUUUUCAGAGAUGAGAAUGUGCCUUCGGGAACCGUGAGACAGGUGCUGCAUGGCUGUCGUCAGCUCGUGUUGUGAAAUGUUGGGUUAAGUCCCGCAACGAGCGCAACCCUUAUCCUUUGUUGCCAGCGGUCCGGCCGGGAACUCAAAGGAGACUGCCAGUGAUAAACUGGAGGAAGGUGGGGAUGACGUCAAGUCAUCAUGGCCCUUACGACCAGGGCUACACACGUGCUACAAUGGCGCAUACAAAGAGAAGCGACCUCGCGAGAGCAAGCGGACCUCAUAAAGUGCGUCGUAGUCCGGAUUGGAGUCUGCAACUCGACUCCAUGAAGUCGGAAUCGCUAGUAAUCGUGGAUCAGAAUGCCACGGUGAAUACGUUCCCGGGCCUUGUACACACCGCCCGUCACACCAUGGGAGUGGGUUGCAAAAGAAGUAGGUAGCUUAACCUUCGGGAGGGCGCUUACCACUUUGUGAUUCAUGACUGGGGUGAAGUCGUAACAAGGUAACCGUAGGGGAACCUGCGGUUGGAUCACCUCCUUACCUUAAAGAAGC